AUUGAACGCUGGCGGCAGGCCUAACACAUGCAAGUCGAACGAGUGGCGGACGGGUGAGUAAUGUCUGGGAAACUGCCUGAUGGAGGGGGAUAACUACUGGAAACGGUAGCUAAUACCGCAUACCAUCGGAUGUGCCCAGAUGGGAUUAGCUAGUAGGUGGGGUAAAGGCUCACCUAGGCGACGAUCCCUAGCUGGUCUGAGAGGAUGACCAGCCACACUGGAACGGAGACGCGGUGCAGACUCCUACGGGAGGCAGCAGUGGGGAAUAUUGCGCAAUGGGGGCAAGCCUGAUGGAGCCAUGCCGCGGGGGUGAGGAGGGCCUUCGGGUUGUAGAGUACGUUCAGCGGGGAGGCGUUACCCGGAGAAGAAGGACCGGCUAACUCCGUGCCAGCAGCCGCGGUAAUUC
rnacentral:rRNA from 1 species